rnacentral:misc_RNA from 1 species
GAUGAAGAACGUAGCGAAAUGCGAUAAGUAAUGUGAAUUGCAGAAUUCAGUGAAUCAUCGAAUCUUUGAACGCACCUUGCGCCCUUUGGCUAUUCUGAAGGGCAUGCCUGUUUGAGUAUCAUGAACACCUCAACUCUCAUGGUUCGCCAUGAUGAGCUUGGACUUUGGGGGUCUUGCUGGCCUACGGUCGGCUCCUCUCAAAUGAAUCAGCUUGCCAGUGUUUGGUAGAGUCGCAGGUGUGAUAACUAGCUACGCUUGUGGUUUUCUGCCAGAUAACCUUCAGUGAUGGAGGUUCGCUGGAGCUUAUAAAUGUCUCUCCCCAGUGAGGACAGCUUUUUGAACGUUUGAUCUCAAAUCAGGUAGGACUACCCGCUGAACUUAAGCAUAUCAAUAAGCGGAGGA